rnacentral:lncRNA from 10 species
GAAACUGAAGGUAGUUAUGUUAAAGUUGUCAGGCAUGAGAAAACGAGAAAAUAAUCACUUUCUGUCAGAGGUGGACUUACACUGAAGCAAAUGCAGUUUAAAUUUUAAUGAAGUUUAAGGGCCCCUUGCAAUUCUCAGGAAAAUAGGAAAAAAAUUAACAACAUGAGGGAAGUUGUAAGACAUGGGAAAUGAUAGAGUGCUUUACACCCAGGCCUGUGUAGACUGACUCCCCUGCUGAGAUGAAGAUGCCAACAGGACAACAGAGCAGCAGGUGCCCUGCCUCAGGUGGACAGCCUCCAAUCUUGGUGAUGACUAUACAUUGUGUCUUCUUCCACAUAUCCAUAUAAAUCUCAUACAUAUUCAUUUUUACUUUAAAAUUUUAUAUUUGUAUAUUGAAAUAUAUUUACUUAAGAAGAACAUACUAAGUGCCUAUGUGUGGCUUUGUAUUAUGUCAGCUUCACUAAACUGGAAGUAUGUUUUCCAGACUUCACUUUCCUGUAUGUUUCAGGGUAAGGGUUGUCCACAAGAGAAAUUUUCAUAAGAUUUGGGAAACAGAAAAGAAGCACAGCCAUUUUUGCAUGCUCUGAAAUUUGGUGCAUGGUGCCAGUCAUGACGGCAACCUGUGCAUGCUGUCACUGAUCUGCUUGGCCUACCUGGGUGGCCAGGUGGAUAGCACCUGGGUCUGCAGCUUCUCCAGUUCUUGCUGGAUUGUCUGCUCUGGACAUUCUGUUUCCUAGCUCUAUGUCAAUGGGGAUUAGCUUCUCUUGCAGGUUACCUGUGUUGUCGAGGUUGGAGGUAGUGAGAGACAGAUACUGGUUCCAGUCUAUCCUUGCUCUCUCCCACUUUGCAUCCAGCUGUUCUUCCCAACUAGUGUUCCAGCUUGCAUAUUGCAAUCUCAGGCCCCACAUCAGAUGCAGAGGAAAGAUCUAGCUACUUUAUUUUACAUUAGUCAUAGUAGUACUGCUUUUCUGGUUGAUCCCUGACUGAUAUAGCCUAUAUAUGUCAGACACUGUGCUGGGUUUGGAGAUAGCAAUGGUGAGCCAGUUCAGUAUUGACCUUUUUUAUAGAGCUUAAAGUCUAACUUAGGAUAUUAUUAUUAUAAUACAAAAGAAAUAACAUGUUAUUUUUAAUUUUCAAUCAAGCUGAGGUUAUUUAAUAAUGCUUUCAUUUUUAUAACCCUUUUUUACUUUUCAAAGAGCUUUCUUGUUAUUUGCUCACUGUCACAUCUUUGCAGCUGUGGAGAAGACUAAGCAGAGAUUUAAGAAUACUCCUAUCCCAAGGUUGCACAAUUUGUAAGUGGCAGGAAUGUAGUCUUCUGAUUCAUAUUCCAGUGCUUGUCUUAAUGUGAAAGUUAUGAAAAUAAAUCAAAUUUUGUACUUUCAUGGAGCAAAUGUUACUAUCAGAUCAGUUGUGUCUACAUUUCACCAAAAUAUUUACCAAUCCAGAAAAAAAAAUAAGCCAAUAUGAGAUACUUGGCACCACGUAGGAAA